UCAGCGUAGCCUACCAGAUUACUGCCCAUCCUGCCACUCACCUGCUGAUUCAAGAUUAAGCUGAUCCUGACUCUGCAUUACCUGGGCUCUUCUCCUCACAGGGGAGUCACUGCAGUGUUUCACCUGUACUGGUGCAACAUGCACAAAUCCACCAGUCAACUGCUCAUCAAACUCUGUAUGUCAGUCUACAACCAUUCAGUCUUCAACCGUGAAAGACCCAUUGGUAAGUAAGUCCUGUGUAGCGGCAUCCAAUUGCAUGACACCUCUGAACGUCACGACAACACAACUGUCCGUGAACCUGGGCUUCGAAAACUUUCGUCAAACUCGGCUGUAACCAAGACGGCUGCAACAACCAGACUCUACCCGAACCGGUUCCCAGUUCCAAUGGCCGAAAGUGUCCUUCCUGCAGGAAUGUGUUCGACACGGUGUGUAACACCCCUGUGGACUGUGUGGGAGUGGAGGAUAACUGCAUUAGCGUCAAUGUGACUGGUUCAAUAAACACUGUCCUGAAGGGCUGUGCAUCCUCAAGUCUGUGCAAUGCAUCUCUCAUAACCUCCUUCCUGCCAUCUGUCCUGCCAUCUGUCCUGCCUUCUAACCUAUUAUCAGCUGUAGGCUUUAAUGUAUCCUGUAACACAGCGCCCUCUACUGGUCCAGUAAAUAGCACAGCCCCCUCUACUGGUGCAGGAACUAACUUGUCUCCCUCUACUGGUCCAGUGAGUGUAGUCCUCAUGGCAAUGUGGCUUCCUAUGAUGGUCAAACUUACCUACUAAAAAACACAAACACACCAUCUUUAACAUGCAGAACAAAAACGUUUUGUGAUAUGAUUGUCAGAAGAUGCAAUUAUAAGCAUGACAAGUGUGUUUUACAUUUGGCUUUUAUACAAUGAAACAGAUUUUGAAAACAUUUCUACUAAUGUUUUUUCAAUUGUCUUGUGCUGCCACAAGUAAUGAAGGGAAAUAUGGUUAUUGCUGUAUCUGUAUUUUGUUAAUUAUAUUUUAUCAUUGAAAUUCGAUAUUAAUCUACUUUUUUUUUACUCUUCAUAUAGUUGAACAUUUCUAUUUCUAAUGGGAAAAUGUGUUAUGUAGUUAUUUAGGAACUGUUAAGGCAGGGUAGGCAAUGUUGAGAAACACUUCCAUAUUUGCUGAAAUAAACUUCACAUAUUGAUAGCAACCAAUACAUAUAAAGGUUUGAUAGGAACAUUAAAUCAAUAAGACAUCUGUGGGCAUCACAAGACUACCUACCCACCUGCGCACACUCUGCCCCUGCACUCAAAACUACUGUUGUUUUGUGGGAGUGGUUUUAACCCUUGUGUUAUCUUCGGGUCAUUCUGACCCAUCAGUCAUUGUGACCCACCGUCGUAUUGCGACAAAUUUACCUCAUACAAAAACAAAGUGAAGCAUUUUCUUUUAACUGUCGGGCUGUCUCAGACCCCCCACAUUGGAAUGGUUAAAAGAAAAUUAUUUUUAUUUGUUUUUGUAUUGGGUAAAAUUGGGUAAACACAACAAUGGUUCGUUAUGAACCUUUGGGUCAUGUGACCCGAAGGCAGCACGAGGGUUAAAGGGAGGGGGUGGGAUAUUUUGGGUUGAAUUGUGUCAAACAGAAGCUAAAAUAGCUAGCUUCGCAAAGCUUGCCUACCCUGCCUUUAACCCUUGUGUUAUCUUCGGGUCGUUCUGACCCAUCAGUCAUUGUGACCCACCGUCGUAUUGCGACAACUUUACCGCAUACAAAAACAAAGUGAAGCAUUUUCUUUUAACCGUUGGGCUGUCUCAGACCCCCCACAUUGCGAAGGUUAAAAGAAAAUUAUUUUUAUUUGUUUUUGUAUUGGGUAAAAUUGGGUAAACACAACGAUGGUUCGUUAUGAACCUUUGGGUCAUGUGACCCGAAGGCAGCACAAGGGUUAAGACAUGACUAUAUAAUGUUCAGUGAAAACCUGCAUGUUUCUGAUGGAUCCAGUUUGGGAUCCAUCCCCUGAAGAGGGAGUUUGAGCUCUUGCCUUCAGGAAGAAGGUAUAGAGCUCCCACCCACAGAACAAAACGAUUUGGGGACUCUUGUUUGUUUUACUAUUGGGAGGCUAAAUGUGCAUAAAUGAAUGGCAUGAAGUAUUUAUGGACGGAACUUAUUCUGGGUUUUCAAUAUUAAGUGAUCCUUGUACUGUAUUGUAAUUUAUUGUGUGUUGUCUUGUGUGGUGUCAGGUAUGCUGGUUAUGUAGUAUUUUAUGAUGGAUUGAAUGUGUUUUAAUACCUGUCUACAAACAAAUUUCCCCUAGUGGGAUCAAUAAAAUUGACUUGACUUUG